rnacentral:rRNA from 1 species
UACGUAGGGUGCGAGCGUUAAUCGGAAUUACUGGGCGUAAAGCGCGCGCAGGCGGCUUUGCAAGACAGAUGUGAAAUCCCCGGGCUCAACCUGGGAACUGCAUUUGUGACUGCAAGGCUAGAGUACGGCAGAGGGGGAUGGAAUUCCGCGUGUAGCAGUGAAAUGCGUAGAUAUGCGGAGGAACACCAAUGGCGAAGGCAAUCCCCUGGGCCUGUACUGACGCUCAUGCACGAAAGCGUGGGGAGCAAACAGG